rnacentral:rRNA from 1 species
UACGGGGGGGGCAAGCGUUGUUCGGAAUUACUGGGCGUAAAGGGCUCGUAGGCGGCCAACUAAGUCGGACGUGAAAUCCCCAGGCUUAACUUGGGAACUGCGUCCGAUACUGGAUGGCUUGAAUCCGGGAGAGGGAUGCGGAAUUCCAGGUGUAGCGGUGAAAUGCGUAGAUAUCUGGAGGAACACCGGUGGCGAAGGCGGCAUCCUGGACCGGUAUUGACGCUGAGUGAGCGAAAGCGUGGGGAGCAAACAGG